rnacentral:rRNA from 1 species
UACGGAGGAUGCAAGCGUUAUCCGGAAUCAUUGGGCGUAAAGCGUCCGCAGGUGGCAUUUCAAGUCUGCUGUCAAAGGUCGGGGCUUAACUCCGAACAGGCAGUGGAAACUGAGAAGCUAGAGUAUGGUAGGGGCAGAGGGAUUUCCUGGUGUAGCGGUGAAAUGCGUAGAGAUCAGGAAGAACACCGGUGGCGAAAGCGCUCUGCUAGGCCAUAACUGACGCUCAGGGACGAAAGCUAGGGGAGCGAAUGGG